GUGUCAGCCGCCGCGGUAAAACGUAGGAGGCGAGCGUUAUCCGGAUUUACUGGGCGUAAAGCGCAUAUAGGCGGCCUGGUAAGUCGGGCGUGAAAUCUCCCGGCUCAACUGGGAGGGGUCGUCCGAUACUGUCAGGCUUGAGGGCAGGAGAGGGAAGUGGAAUUCCCGGUGUAGUGGUGGAAUACGUAGAUAUCGGGAGGAACACCAGUGGCGAAGGCGGCUUCCUGGCCUGCCCCUGACGCUGAGAUGCGAAAGCGUGGGGAGCGAACGGGAUUAGAUACCCCGGUAGUCCACGCCCUAAACGAUGGCAGCUAGGUGUGGGUGACAUCGACCUCAUCCGUGCCGAAGCUAACGCGUUAAGCUGCCCGCCUGGGGACUACGGCCGCAAGGCUAAAACUCAAAUGAAUUGACGGGG
rnacentral:rRNA from 1 species